ensembl:lncRNA
CCCCUCCGCGCCGCUCCGCCGCAACGCCACGGCCGCCUCAGAGCCGCUCUUUGCUUCGGACCCCCCCACAGCCGCCCCCUCCCCUCCAUAUCCACCACGGGGGGAGGAGGGGGAGCAGAGAGCCAUACGCGGUCACAGCAAAACCCUCCAACCCCAAACGACGGAGUAAUGCCAAGAGGACUUCUGAUGCUGCACGGGACCGUGCGGAGCCGCGGUGCCACGAAGCAAAUCCAUUCCUGAGGGGGGUUUUUUGCCCCCAUCCCUCCUCUUCUCCAACUCCAAACGAGAGACAGAAGUGCCGUUGCACGCGUGGGUGUCCUCCGGGGGUAAAGGGGUGCGUGUGCACGGGAAGGGCUGGUGCGUGGGGCAUCCCUGCAUGGAGGUGGGUGAGGAUGAGCGUUCCUCAUCCCUUCACCUUCCUCCCGUCCACCGGCAGUGUUUGCUUUCCCAGCCCGAGCUCCGGGUUGGGCGGAGGUCCCCCCGUGAAGCAGCAAAAGGAUUUCUCUUCGUUUCGUUCCGAGCGACGCGGGUGUGAAGGAGAAAACCCAUUGCCGCAAAUGGGGACGGUCGGAGCCAGUCCCCAAAAACGGGCUGAGAUUCCCCCUACGCUCAAUGGGCGUUCGGGGGAAGUGCAAUUAUAUAUAUCUAUAUAAAUAAUAAUAAAAAUGGGGGGAUGCGGGAGCCGAGGUAUUAAAGAGCACCGAGGAAAGGAACUGACUUCCUGAGUGCUUAAGGAUUAAUACCGCUCCUGCAAACGUGUGUGUGGUUUUAAUAGGGCUGCGAGGAUUAACUGCCCACCUUCCAUUCCGAGCGCCGCUCGAAAAGAGCAUUUCAGGGCUAUUUUGCUAAUAUACGGUCUGCCCGGCAGAAAGCACAUUUUCCCUGCCACCAUUUCCGACUUUUUUGCCCAGUUUCGCACGUUUUGAUGUCACUGUUUAAGUUAUCAAGCCUGGAGAAUAAAGGGA